rnacentral:tRNA from 1 species
GGUGAGGUGUCCGAGUGGUUGAAGGAGCAGGCUUGGAAAGCUUGUAUACAGUAACAAGUAUCGAGGGUUCGAAUCCCUUCCUCACCG